GCAAUACUAUUGGUGGCGACCGGCGCACGGGUGAGUAACACGUAUGCAACCUACCCUUUAUCGGGGGAUAACCCGGAGAAAUCCGGACUAAUACCGUAUGAAGAUAUGUUUUCUCAUGAGAAUAUAUUUAAACGACAAGGAUAAAGGAUGGGCAUGCGUAUGAUUAGUUAGUUGGUAGGGUAACGGCCUACCAAGGCGACGAUCAUUAGGGGUUCUGAGAGGAAGGUCCCCCACACUGGUACUGAGACACGGACCAGACUCCUACGGGAGGCAGCAGUGAGGAAUAUUGGUCAAUGGGCGAGAGCCUGAACCAGCCAAGUCGCGUGCAGGAAGAAUGUCCUAUGGAUUGUAAACUGCUUUUCCGGUAGAAUAAAAUGAUCCAUGUAUGGAUUUUUGCAAGUAUACCGGGAAUAAGGAUCGGCUAACUCCGUGCCAGCAGCCGCGGUAAUACGGAGGGUGCAAGCGUUAAUCGGAAUUACUGGGCGUAAAGCGCACGCAGGCGGUCUGUCAAGUCGGAUGUGAAAUCCCCGGGCUCAACCUGGGAACUGCAUCCGAAACUGGCAGGCUAGAGUCUUGUAGAGGGGGGUAGAAUUCCAGGUG
rnacentral:rRNA from 1 species